AGAGUUUGAUCCUGGCUCAGGACGAACGCUGGCGGCGUGCUUAACACAUGCAAGUCGAACGAAAAUACCAAGCUUGCUUGGUUGAUUAGUGGCGAACGGGUGAGUAACACGUGAGUAACCUGCCCCUUACUUUCCUGGAUAACUGCUCGAAAGGGUAGCUAAUACGGGAUAUUCUGACUAGCCCGCAUGGGUUGGUUUGGAAAGGUUGUUUUUCUGGUAAGGGAUGGGCUCGCGGCCUAUCAGCUUGUUGGUGGGGUGAUGGCCUACCAAGGCUUUGACGGGUAGCCGGCCUGAGAGGGUGACCGGUCACAUUGGGACUGAGAUACGGCCCAGACUCCUACGGGAGGCAGCAGUGGGGAAUAUUGCACAAUGGGCGCAAGCCUGAUGCAGCGACGCCGCGUGAGGGAUGAAGGCCUUCGGGUUGUAAACCUCUUUCGUCAGGGAACAAGGCAUUGCCUUUUUUGGUGGUGUUGAGGGUACCUGGAUAAGAAGCGCCGGCUAACUACGUGCCAGCAGCCGCGGUAAUACGUAGGGCGCGAGCGUUGUCCGGAAUUAUUGGGCGUAAAGAGCUCGUAGGCGGCUGGUCGCGUCUGUCGUGAAAUCCUCUGGCUUAACUGGGGGCUUGCGGUGGGUACGGGCCGGCUUGAGUGCGGUAGGGGAGACUGGAACUCCUGGUGUAGCGGUGGAAUGCGCAGAUAUCAGGAAGAACACCGGUGGCGAAGGCGGGUCUCUGGGCCGUUACUGACGCUGAGGAGCGAAAGCGUGGGGAGCGAACAGGAUUAGAUACCCUGGUAGUCCACGCCGUAAACGUUGGGCACUAGGUGUGAGGCUCCUUUCCGGGGGUUUUGCGCCGUAGCUAACGCAUUAAGUGCCCCGCCUGGGGAGUACGGCCGCAAGGCUAAAACUCAAAGGAAUUGACGGGGGCCC
rnacentral:rRNA from 1 species